UCCAGACUCCUACGGGAGGCAGCAGUGGGGAAUAUUGCGCAAUGGGCGAAAGCCUGACGCAGCGACGCCGCGUGAGGGAUGAAGGUCUUCGGAUCGUAAACCUCUGUCAGCAGGGAAGAACGGUCACUGUGCUAAUCAGCAGUGAAUUGACGGUACCUGCAAAGGAAGCACCGGCUAACUCCGUGCCAGCAGCCGCGGUAAUACGGAGGGUGCGAGCGUUAAUCGGAAUUACUGGGCGUAAAGCGCUCGUAGGCGGUAUGUCAAGUCAAGGGUGAAAUCCCCGCGCUCAACGUGGGAACUGCCUUUGGAACUGUGCGGCUAGAGUGCGGGAGGGGCAGGCGGAAUUCCUGGUGUAGCGGUGAAAUGCGUAGAUAUCAGGAGGAACACCGGCGGCGAAGGCGGCCUGCUGGACCGCGACUGACGUUGAGGCUCGAAAGCGUGGGGAGCGAACAGGAUUAGAUACCCUAGUAC
rnacentral:rRNA from 1 species